rnacentral:pre_miRNA from 1 species
GAAAUAUAAGAACUCGUCUCUUAACUUUUAACUAAAAAAAGUUAAGAACCGGUUCUUAAAACUCUUAUUUAAGAACCGAUUCUUAACUUUUUUAGUUAAAAGUUAAAAGACGGGUUCUUAUAUUCC